AUACGUAUGUCGCAAGCGUUAUCCGGAUUUAUUGGGCGUAAAGCGCGUCUAGGCGGCUUAGUAAGUCUGAUGUGAAAAUGCGGGGCUCAACCCCGUAUUGCGUUGGAAACUGCUAAACUAGAGUACUGGAGAGGUAGGCGGAACUACAAGUGUAGAGGUGAAAUUCGUAGAUAUUUGUAGGAAUGCCGAUGGGGAAGCCAACCUACUGGACAGAUACUGACGCUAAAGCGCGAAAGCGUGGGUAGCAAACAGGAUUAGAUACCCUGGUAGUCCACGCCGUAAACGAUGAUUACUAGGUGUUGGGGGUCGAACCUCAGCGCCCAAGCUAACGCGAUAAGUAAUCCGCCUGGGGAGUACGUACGCAAGUAUGAAACUCAAAGGAAUUGGCGGGG
rnacentral:rRNA from 1 species